CUUUACAAAUCAACAGCCGCUUUAGAUAUUAAUUUUGAGUAGGUGGUAUACUUAAAAGUUUAGGAAGCUUAGAUAGUAAAUGCUAAAUAAAGACGACGUUAACUAAUACUUCUUUCAAAACAGGAACUGUUUAGAUAUAGAUAACGAUAAGAUGAAUUGUGCCACACCGGAUGUCAGUCAGUGGCAUGACAUAUAAUAUUCCUUCAAACUUGUUAAAAGCUGGUAUCAUGUUUCGAUCCUGCUAAAGCUCUCGAGUACAAAAUAAACAAUUUCAAAUUCAAAGAAACGGUUUCCAAAGCCCGCCACUCGUUUCCUCGAGUCUCCGCAACGAUAGAAUACAUUUUGAAAGGCCAAAGAGGUAGCCUCACCGAGAGUGCACCAGUUAACCACAACUUACUGCUCAGAUUACUAAAUAAAUCUUUCACAAUGAAACUACGAACAGGAACAUUGGUCUUCAUCCUAAUUACGAGCUACGUCUUCCAGUCACAAGCACAAGGCAUUUUUUCCGGUUUGAAAAUUUACUGUAAUUCGGAAUAUUAUACCAAGUACGUCAAGAGACCUGGCUGUGAUUCCCGCUAUGUGGGUGUUCAAGCAUGUCUAGGCACAUGUUGGUCGUAUUCUCUUGCACAUAACUCACCGCCAUUCUUCAGAAAGGUAUGCACUUGUUGCAAGCCCACUGGUACAGAAUGGAAGACGUUUACCUUUGACAAUUGUGCAACUGGAAUAGAUUCCACUAUAAGAGUGGAGAGUGCUACAGGAUGUACCUGUAAACCCUGCAGCUAAAAUCAAGACGUUCAAAUAUUUUAAUAAUUUAUCGGUAUUUUGGGUUUUCGGACUUGAGAGCUAAACGGGGGAAUGUGAAGGAAGAACAUGACUGGUUAAGGUCUCUUUUCUCUUUUUUCCUCCUUUUUUCAUUCUUUUUUAUCUCUUUUUUCUCCUUUCUCCUUGUUGUUGUUGUUGUUGUUUAGUAUUGUUGUUGUUUUGCUAAAGCUUGCUUGGUGUUUUGUUUCAUUCCUUUAUUCUUCUCUUUCUUUUCAUUGUAUUAUUUUCUUUUUUCUGUUUUCUUUUUAUCUGUUUCUCUGCCCUCAUAUCUUUGUGGCUUCUUUCUUUUUUGCCCCUUUCUUUCAUUCUUCCUUCCUUUCUUUUCUUUCUCUCUCUCUUUCUUCCUUCCUUUCUUUCUCUCUUUUUCUUUUCCUUUCUCUUUCUUUCUCUUUCGUCCUUCCUUUCACUUCCUUUCUCUUUCGUCCUUCCUUCCUUUCUCUCUUUAAUUCCCCCCCCUCCUAACGUGUCAACUUUCCAAUUUCUCACCUUAUCCAUAUCCAACUCAAGUCGGCUUGGUGAUAGUUAAUAUAUAUAAAAAUGAAGACCAAAGGAGUGGGCAAAAUAAAUACAUUCUGUCGUAUUUUCUCCUCUCUUUUCGUCUUCCGGCAACUCGUUAUUAAACGGGAAACAGACGCUCAAGUCAAUGGUUCUUUGAGUAAAUAUUUUCUCUGUUAAUGCGAAUAGUAGUUAAGAGGGUCAACGCAAAUUCUUGAGAUUAUCUUAAUGCUGCGUGGUGAGCGCCCGUAAAUAAAAGGAUAGCUCAGUUUUUAUCAACUUCAAUUUUCAACUGUGCGCUAAUUUGUUAACUGCAGUAAAGUUACUUAUUUUAUUAAAAGUUAAAAUGAAAACAGAC